rnacentral:miRNA from 1 species
AUGUAGGAGUAGAAGCCACUAA